UCGAGGACACUGUGUGGUGGGUAGUUUGACUGGGGCGGUCUCCUCCCAAAGAGUAACGGAGGAGCACGAAGGUCGGCUAAUCCUGGUCGGACAUCAGGAGGUUAGUGUAAUGGCACAAGCCGGCUUAACUGCGAGACAGACACGUCGAGCAGGUACGAAAGUAGGUCAUAGUGAUCCGGUGGUUCUGUAUGGAAGGGCCAUCGCUCAACGGAUAAAAGGUACUCCGGGGAUAACAGGCUGAUACCGCCCAAGAGUUCACAUCGACGGCGGUGUUUGGCACCUCGAUGUCGGCUCAUCACAUCCUGGGGCUGAAGCCGGUCCCAAGGGUAUGGCUGUUCGCCAUUUAAAGUGGUACGCGAGCUGGGUUUAGAACGUCGUGAGACAGUUCGGUCCCUAUCUGCCGUGGGCGUUUGAGAUUUGAGAAGAGCUGCUCCUAGUACGAGAGGACCGGAGUGGACGAACCUCUGGUGUUCCGGUUGUCAUGCCAAUGGCAUUGCCGGGUAGCUACGUUCGGACGGGAUAAACGCUGAAAGCAUCUAAGCGUGAAGCCUCCUUCAAGAUGAGAUCUCACUGGAACUUCGAGUUCCCUGUAGGGCCCAGGAAGACUACCUGGUUGAUAGGUCAGGUGUGUAAGCGUUGUGAGGCGUUGAGCUAACUGAUACUAAUUGCCCGUGAGGCUUGACCAU
rnacentral:rRNA from 1 species